AGGUUAUGCAAACAAAUUUCAUAACUUGUAUGUCAACAUAUUGUUUGAUGAGCUACUGUGGGAAAUUGAACUUAGACUUGACUACUAUAUUGGAAGCCUGAAUGAUAUUCAACUGACUUUGUUCCAUACCAUUAAUGAAAUUUGUUUAAUUCAAGUGUGUUUGCUUUUGAUCAGUAUUGUCAAGAGCGAUUAAUGCUCUUGCCCUCUCUCAUCCUCACCAUCGUGAAUCAACCUCAAAGGUGAGUGGUAUUUUUCAAGAGAAACCACUAGUAAAAUUUGGUCUUUUAGUUCUGAAUACAUAUUUUUCUUUGUGGUUGCGUGGUGAUUGAGUUGUGGAGGAGCUAAAGAGAAUCCCUACUUCCAAUCUCGACAAGGCAGCCACUACAAAAAUGUGCUUCCUUCGGUAGUGAGGUCCUGUUCCUUCAGGUACUGUAUCUCUUCUCUCAUGCUUUCUUCUUUUCUUUGCUCAUCAGAUUCACUUAUGCUUACCGAGUUGUUGUUUUGAAAAUAUUUAAGUUCGUCUAUGAUUAUGUGAGCCAUUAUCUAAAGUAGUAAUGGAGGGCAGUAUUUACUCUGGAGAACAAUUCUUCAUCUUCCCUAUAUUUUGGUUUUGAGCAGGUAGAUUAUUUUGUGAGGUCCUCUUGGCUAGAUUGUUUUCAUAAUUACUCUGCAAUGUAUGCUAUAUUUUUAGCCGUAAUGCAAGAGGAAGCUUUUCUGAAUUUAUUAUGCCCAAUGCCGCACAUGAGAAGACAUCUUGCCUUAGCCUCCGUAUGUAUUUCUGAUUUUUAAUUCCUAGUGUUGUCACAACUCUUUGUGCCUCUUUGAAUUAUUUACCAUAGCUCCGGAUCUUCGCCUGUAAUAUAAUUUCUUAUGGGGGCUUUCCACCAGCUAUAAUAAUUUCUGUUGAAUCAUGGUAGUCUUGUGGUUAAUUAUCCUUCUUGUACAGCCGAAGGGGUAACCAUCUUUCAAGGUACUAGCCUGUGUAGAAAGAUCUAUCAUUAAUACCACUUGUUAGGAUCCGGCUAUCCAUAGGCACUUCAAGAAUUAGAUUUUUGACUCAAUUUUCUUCAGAAGGAAUUGCAGCGGAAUAAAUAAUCAACAUAAAAAUUUUCACGUGGAAAAAUCCCUAUUCAAGGGAGUCAAAAACCACGACAUAUCUUCUAUAGGAUUUACACAAAUCUUCAAUAUAAUCAGAGUGAUAACAGGUUUAUAACUUCCUUGUCACACCUAAAGCACAUGUUCCUUGAACAGUCCGUCUAUAAUCCUAGUAAUAGUUUUACCAACAAACACUUAUCACCAAUACUUGCAAAGGCAAAUAAGUGGAAACAAUCAGAACCUAAUAAUUACAAUAAAAGAAAUACAAGGAUAUAUCUUGAUAAAGCUCAGGUUAUUUGUCGAUAGACAGUUGGCUCUUUCUGAGAUCAAGGUAUUGACUGCUCUCACUAUGUCUCUCCUUGGAUGUUUGUAGUUCUAGUUGGAUUUGUGGUUGAGUUCUAAAGCUCCUUCUUGUAGUGUAUAUACAGUAGUGGUUGCCGCCUUCAGUUUUUGAAUCCUUGAAGGUUUUGCUUUCAUUAGUUGUAACCGAAAACCAAACUUUGUUUAACUUGGAUCUUUUUUUUUUUUUUUUCAUUUUUGUGUUUCGGCUUCCUUGUCCUACUUUAAUGGUAAUUUCAAUGUUAUUCUACUUAUGGUAUACUGUACAAUAUUACCAUAAAUGAAGUCCAACCCUUCGUUGAAUAGGAAUCAGUCAAUAUUCCGUCAUUUAUAAGUCGGCAUGAAAGCUUAAGUCUCCAGUUGCGUGAGGACCAGUUUCCUUGAGCAGUUCUUCUGAAUGUUGUGACUGCUUCACUAAGUCCUUUAGUGAUCUGAUUGGAUGUCUUGCUCUUCAAAAGAUUCCCUCCUUAUAUCUCUAGUUGAUUUCCUUGGGUACAUUGUUUGUCAAAUCAUAAAAACUUCAAUGUAAGCUCAUGAUCAUUGAGCCAGUAGCUACUCAACACUAUAUAAAAUAAUUUAGACUAAUAAGUCGACCAAAAAGUUAACUUUGAGCCUCCGAGGUCAAAAUUGGAAAUUUCUCCAAAAUCGGGUUACUCAUCCUGUUAUACCCCGUACAUUUAUACGUCGAACUAUUAGCAAGCAUAUCGACUCGAGUUAAAGACGGAAUCACUUUCGGACACAAAAUAGAAAUAUUUAAUUUUCAAUUUUAAUUAAAACAUAAAUUGUUUAUAAAUUUUAUUUAGUGAAAAAAAAUAUUGGAGAUUGGGGAUUAAUUAAUUGUGAUUAUAUUGUUAAGUGGGAAUUAGUUAUUAAUUAAAAUUAAUUAAGUUAAUUAAUUAUAUCAUCUAGUGGGCCCCACCCGAUUUUUAAAUUAAAAAAAAUAAUAAUAAAAAAAAAACAGCAAAUGGUGAGUCACAAGGAGAUGGAAACGUGUCAACUUAAAGGGAACCAUAUAAAUGGUUGAUUAUUGAAUCAACAAAACAUUUCAUUCUAAGAAUUGAAAGUUGAAAAAAAGAAAGAAAGAAUAAAACUCCCAUGGCUGUUCGGCCAGCCAUGGUGAUUGAAAAACAAUGUGUGUUUUGUUGCUAUUUUGAUCAUGAUUCAAGUAAAUUGCAAGGUCAAGGGGGUGAUAGCAACGUUGGAUAUUGAAUCGGGGAAGAAGAAAUUGCGAAAUUGGAGCAAUUAAGGGCAGAAAUUCCUCCGAGAAAAUUAAGGCUAAAAGAGCGUCGAGACGAACGGGUUACGAAUAGCCACUAACAGGUACAGAUAGUCGGUUUGGUGACCCUUCAGCAUAGGACUUCUACUCAGCUGUUUUGGAGAGCUCCGUUGUUCCGGAGUCUAGACAUUUGGUUCAGAUCUUAUAAUGUAUAUGUAUAUGUUUAUCCAGGGGUACGGCGGGGCCCUGUCCCGUCAUAUUUCGUUAUCGAUACUCUUAAAGGUCUGUAGACAUAUGUGUAGGUUGUGUAUGGGUUCUGUUCAGCUGUGUCUAUACGAUGUGCUGUGGUCUGAUGUUCGUCUCUAGUAGCAGCCUUGUCGGCUUGCAUACGGUAUUGAUAUGUGAUGGCAGCCUUGUCGGCUUGCGUAUUAUUUCAUGAUAUGAUUAGUUGUGACUCCUCAGGAGACCGUUGAUCUGGAAGUA